UCAAAAUUAAAUGGUCUAUUUGACCCGUAAUUAUAUUCUUAAUUACAUUGUAAUUAAACUAGUCAAAUGGUUUGCAGUGGUAAAUACUUGCACGUUACCCCAUUGCAGAAGAGUGGUGGGAAACUAGCUUCCGCACCAAAACCUGACCAGUUCAAGGGGAAUUAGGCAGGAGGAGUUGGGGAAAAGAAGCUAAAUUGAAGCAAACAAACAAACAGAAAAAAGGAAAAAAGAUCAAACGGAUAAGCAUCCCGAAAUGAAAAUUUAUUAUAAUAUAAAAAUUCUAAAAGUUUCUGGGCAAAGGAUGUUAGAUCCUGGAAAAUUAAGCGGCUAUAAAUUUACAUAUAUACAAAAAGAAUCUAUUGGUAGAGAGAGAGAGAGAGGGGGGGGGGGGGUUUGGUAUUAUAAUAUAAAAAUUCUAAAAGUUUCUGGGCAAAGGAUGUUAGAUCCUGGAAAAUUAAGCGGCUAUAAAUUUACAUAUAUACAAAAAGAAUCUAUUGGUAGAGAGAGAGAGAGAGGGGGGGGGGGUGUUUCGAUAACUCAUCAGAGAGUACAACCGCAAAAAACAAAGAAGUAACAAAGCAUGGCAACUAAAGCUACAGACUCCAAUACCGUAACGAAAGUCCAUACCACAUCAUCGAUAGAGAAAUCGAACCACCUGAAACUCUGUAGACUCCACCUCGUCGUGAGAUACGAAAAAUCGAAAUCCGGCCACCGGAAGAUUGAUGUUCGCAAUGAAAAUCCAAAUUCCGGCCAGCGGAUAGCCGAAACGUAGCGCAUCGGACACAUAUUGCCGCUCCGCUCGAAUCGAGCGAUUAUCGUUGAUGUGAUGUUCCAGAAAAUGGAGAGUAGGAAUUAGGAUUUGGAUUUAAUUAUUAGUGGGAAAUGGUUUGGUACGUUAA
rnacentral:lncRNA from 1 species